UUGUUGAGAACUAGGGAUCACCUUGGAGGUGUUGGAAUUCAGCCUGGCUUGGGAGCAUGUGCUGCUGGGGGCUCACAGGGUUGGGGUGAGGGGACCCCAUCUGUUGCUGGAGUCGCUUCUGAUAGGCCUACAGACAGGCUCCUACCUCUCUGCUCCCAAGGCCUGGGAGGGGGGACUGUGCUGCCCCAUCUGUCCGACGUUCUCUUGUUGCAUCUGCUGCAUGUGAUUCUGUUUGCUGCUGCCACAUCACCUGCUGUUGUCUCAACAUGUCCCACAACUGAGAAGACAGGCUGCUGUGUUCACAUCCACUGGAAGGGCCUGGGGUCUCAACUCUCAUGGUGGCUGGAGUUGCUGCUGCUGCUGCUGCUGUCGCAUCAUCUGCUGUUGUCUCAACAUGUCCCGGAACUGGGAAGACAUGCUGCCGUGAUUCAUGUUCAUUGGCUGCGCCUGGGGACUCAUCCCUCCCAUGGGCGGCUGGAGUUGCGGCUGAGGCUGGUGCUGGGCCAGACCAGCCCUCUGCACACCUGCCUGCAUGGGACUCAUGUUCUGCAUGGCUGGACUGGAGAGGACGCCGCCCUGCUGACCUGGCAUGGCUGGUGGCUGCAGCCCUGGCUGUCCCUGGACCAUGCCAGGCUGUCCAGUGAGAGGCUGUGGAUUAGAGUUGGUGGACUUGAAUCCUGCUGUUUUAUGGCAUAGUUGGAUCCUGCAGCCAACAGCUGGAGGUUGUACACUAAGCACCUGUUGCUGUUGCAGGGGAGAGCCGGGAGACCUGAGAGUCCGCAGGGGAGGUUUUAUAAGGCUUGCUGAGACACAGUGCGUGGUGUGAGUGGGGUCACACCUACCUGGCCCAAACCCGGGUACGUAGCCAUGUUCAAGGCUGCUCGUGUUGGACCACUGAUCGGUCAUGGUUGACCUUGGCACCCUGGACUGGUGUUGCUAGGGCUGAGAGGCAGUGCUAUUUGGGUACAGAGAGCUGCUGCUGCAUUGGUGGGGGCCCCAUUCCUGGUUUAGAUGCCCACCAGGACCUCUGGACAUGGUAGAUGGGUUCAUGGCCACUGGGGCCUAGGAGUUAUUGGACAUCAAGGAUUGUAGUGGUCUUCCAUAGGCCAUCUGGGGCUGUAUCCACUGCUGUCUGAAUCUGCAUUGCUAUUUCUAAUGCUGCAGGUAAGUGCUCAGCCAAGGAUGGCUGAGUAGUCUGUGGAGGAGUUGGAAGGUCACCAGGGCUUUUCCAGAAGAGGUGAGAUCAGGCAUCUUCUGAGUUUUUGGCAGUGCACAUUCAAUGUGGUUGGUAUGGCAGGGGCUGGGGAGGGCAGGCCCUAUUUUUGCCCUGUCACACUGGCAGGCUACACGCUGGCCAUCCUCCUGUGCAGCACCUGGGCCUGCCGGGGCUGCAGCUGCUGUUGGCGGAGCUUCUGCCUGAUGUUGAAGCAGAAUGGCACAGGGCAAUAAUUCUCAUGGCAGCGCUUGGCAUGGUAGCAGCAGAGGGCAAUGAGCUGCCUGCAGACGGGGCACCUGCCAGUGCUCUUCCGUUUGCAGCCUUUGGUAUGGUGUACAACUCGCUUCAUCUUCUGGCAGGAAGGCAAUGGGCAGUUGGCAUCGCGGCACUGGCAGGCUAAGAUCAAGUAUUGAAUGUUGCGCUGGAUGCUCAGGCAGCGAGAUUCUUCUGGGCUCUGGGCAGCCGCACCCUGCUGGUUGCUGCUGUCGUCAUCUAAGCCCAGGCCCAGUUUCUCCAUCGGGUGGUUGUGGCUUUUAGUGUGAAAGCAGGAGACACACAAGUCAUAAUCCUGGGGAAAAACAUAGGAGGUACAGGUGAACACUCGGGAUGUAAAUGUUGAAAUCAUUUGCAAUAUUCUGUCUGGCCUAGGAAAGCUCCUUUUGUUUUUAGAGACAGGGUCUUGUAUUCCAGGCUGUCCUUGUGUUUGCUCUGUAACCCUGGGCUGGCUUUACAUUUGUGAUCUUCCACACCUACCCACUAGUGCAGGGAGCACAGCUGUAUGUCAGCAAGCUGGCUUACAAAAGCGCCUCUGUAUACAACACUUCAGCUCUGCCCCUCACUAUGAGACCAGGCUAUCUUACCCCAAGGACUGGGGAUGCAUCAUCACAGGUAACGUGUUUCCACAUCAUUAUUCAGGUGAUGGGGAUCUGCAAGGCCCACUCCUCUUUCCCAAGAGCUGUUGCUUACCUGGCAGACAGUGCAGUGCCAGUGUGUGUCCACUCGGUCCUUGCACUCACAGCAGGUGCAGAGUAACUGGCAGGCAAACCUGCAGGGAUGGUUUGAGUGAAGAGGACUCAUCCCGACCUCGAUCAGAUCACUGAGGAUGAGAGGGUCAAGGUCACCAAUGGGAGGCAGGGAGGUGGAUCACAAAGCCGACCUGUGGAAGAGAGGCUCACUAUGACUCCGGAACUGGAGUGCUGAGGAAGAAAGGAAGGGGGGCACCCAGCAGGAUGUGCGGACACUGGGGGGGGUGUGACCACACCACUUUCUCCUUUCCUCCUUCACCUACCUCGGCUCUCUCUGAGGCUAAGUAUAAUCCACCUGACACUCACAUCCUCUGAUCUCUUCCACCCCGUGGAAUCAGGCCAGGCUUAGGUCCAGCGCAUAUACAGUGGACAUUUUGCCCCAAGUCUACAUGAGAUGUAAUCCAUGCUUUAACCUGAACCUGAUUACAAGAGACGGAUCUGACAAAUCUCAAGUGACACAUUCUGUAAAAGGACUUCUCUGGGCUCAUCAACAAAAUGCUCGUGUCAUUUAGGAAGAGGCUGGAACUGUUCAUAAUGCAAGGUGAAUGCGGAGACUCAGCACGAUUCUUCACCUGGGACUGGAAUCUGAGGACCAGACGUUAGGUGGUGAAGGCGACUGAUCAUGUGGCACAGUGCGAAGACCCUAGGUUCAGCCCCCUGUACCCCCAAAAUGAAAAAGAAAUCAAAACAAAAUAAAAAUACUAUAGUAUGGUUGAUUGUGUGUCUUCUUUCUUAGCAGGUACUUGCUAGAAUAGAGAUUAGAAAAAGAAAACAUAAGAAGUGGUGUAGGGGUUCUCUGUGCAGCUUUCCCAAAGGUUUGAAAUUUUAAACUAAACUCGGUGGGGGUUGGAGGGAGGAAAGCAAGUCUUAGCCCUUAAUGGCGACCCAGUAAAAUUCUCAUUCCUGAAGUUUGGAAACUUGUAACAGUUAUCAGUUCCCACAAGCAUCAACACCAAGGCUGCAGUUGCAACAAAAGGGUGAUGUUGUAAAUGUACUUGAAAUUAAUUAGAAGAUAACUAUAAACCCAUUAAAAUGAGAAAAGGCAGAAGGUCACCUGAAGAAGUCAGAAAUGUGUAUAAAGCUGACCCGAAGCUUGUUUAUUUUAUUUUAUAUUUAAGAGAUAGGGUGGGGCUGGGGAUUUAGCUCAGCGGUUUGGUGGCCUGCCUUGCAAGCGCAAGGACCCGAGUUCAAUCCCCGGUACCAAAAAGAGAGAGAGAGAGACAGACAGAGAGAGAGAGAGAGAGAGAGGGAGAGAGGGAGGGUGUUUCUACAAGGUACAGGCUGCCCUCAAACUUCUGAUCCUCCCACCUUGUGUCUCUCGUGCUGAACUUCAGACAUGCAGCACCACAUUGGCCUAGCCCACUCUUUUGGACAACUUUGGGGAGACUGAAGUCUGUGCGAUGGGGCACAGGGGCCGCAUGUUUGCUGCUCUUGGGACUCUUCAGCAAAGCCAGUGGCUGACUUUAUAACGGACUUCAGACGCCUGUGGAAUGAGAGCCAUCCAACCUGUCUCCCUCAGAAGUCAGAGCCACCACACACUCUCAGGGCCUUUCCCCACUGCUCCAGGAACCCUAAGAUGUUUGGCAUGAAAUAUUACUUGAAAGAGCUCCUGACUAUGAACUGCUAACAUUUAUCACUAAUUCCCGAGGCCCCCACUGGACCUCAGGGAU
rnacentral:lncRNA from 1 species